rnacentral:rRNA from 1 species
AGUGAACGCUGGCGGUAGGCCUAACACAUGCAAGUCGAACGGCAGCACAGUAAGAGCUUGCUCUUACGGGUGGCGAGUGGCGGACGGGUGAGGAAUACAUCGGAAUCUACUUUUUCGUGGGGGAUAACGUAGGGAAACUUACGCUAAUACCGCAUACGACCUACGGGUGAAAGCAGGGGAUCUUCGGACCUUGCGCGAUUGAAUGAGCCGAUGUCGGAUUAGCUAGUUGGCGGGGUAAAGGCCCACCAAGGCGACGAUCCGUAGCUGGUCUGAGAGGAUGAUGAGCCACACUGGGACUGAGACACGGUCCUGACUCCUACGGGAGGCAGCAGUGGGGAAUAUUGGACAAUGGGCGCAAGCCUGAUCCAUCCAUACCGCGUGGGUGAAGAAGGCCUUCGGGUUGUAAAGCCCUUUUGUUGGGAAAGAAAAGCAGCAGGUUAAUACCCCGCUGUUCUGACGGUACCCAAAGAAUAAGCACCGGCUAACUUCGUG